GGGUACGUGGCGCAAUGGUAGCGCGUUAGGCUUCGAUUGCCUCGCUACCUAAAGGCUGCAGGUUCGAGCCCUGCCGUGCUCA
rfam:Schizopora paradoxa strain KTC8140 unplaced genomic scaffold SCHPAscaffold_00061, whole genome shotgun sequence.